GCCAACCAAUGCUACGGUCACCUCUCCCGCAAUAUAUGUCGGCAAACAGAACAGUGAAGCUGCGACCACCUCUCCUAAUAAUGCUCAGAAAUCUGACAGCAGCUACAGCAGCCCUGUGGUAGCUGUAAUCAUUUGCAUCGUCAUCUUAACUAUUGUCAUCGUCGCCAUGACCAUUUACUUGUUGUUCUACGUUAGACUGGGAAAACCUCUCAUCCAUUAACAUCCCCUGAUCUAGAGUGGAGUCCCUUCACCUCCCCAAAUCAACUCCAAAGCAAGGUCAUAUGCUACAGCAAUCAUGUCAUACUGUUAAAGUAGCUGCUCUUUAGAUUUCCCAUUUCACAAACAUAGCAUCACAAGGUCUACUAUCUAUCAUGCAACCUUUCACUGUAAAUCACAUAGCUCAUUAAUAUGGAGAUGAAG
rnacentral:lncRNA from 1 species